rnacentral:SRP_RNA from 10 species
CGAUCGGCUUCUUCGGCUUCUCCUUCCCCAGCAACUGUCGGCGGGCGGGCGCCGGAGACUUGGGCAAAUAGCGCAACAGGGUUCAGCUUCUCCG